GUGGUUAAAUUUUAACUUUGCAGACAAACGCUGAGGUGCCCCAAGAUCAGUCUCAGGCUAUAGUAACACACUGAAGUGCUCUACUUCCUGAAAUGCUGACAGGAGCUUGCUAGGAAAACAUUUGGCAUUAACUAAGAACCUCAGGCUACAGAUGCUGCUAAGAGGAAAGGAAACACAGCAUCAAAUGAGACACGAGACCAAACAGUGGCUCUUUAUCAGGAGUACCCACUGGGAAUGCCAUUCUCUGCUCUCAGGCAGAAGGUUUCUUCUGUGCACUCCUUGAGCUUUUCUUUUUUAAUAAUUUAAUAGUGAGCAUUUUUAGUUUCUCUACCAAAUGAGGUUCUCUGAUCCAAGUGGCUGGGGAAAUAAAAACAACUGAAAAAGCUUAA